UAUACUUUUUCGUGAAGACGAAAGGUCGCACUCUCUUUCCCAAUCCCAAACCCGAAAGCAAGUAAAACUUGAUAAAAGAAGAAAUUCCCACAAUCUGUUUCAGCUUGCUCUCUCUCUCUCUCUCUCUCUCUGAUGGUGAUACCCGUUUACUCUUUCUGGUUUUAUUUUAGUGGUGGUGUUGUUGCCUUUUCGAUCUGGCUGCUGUGAUUGGUUUCAUUUGGCCGCGAUUCCAAACUUGGAGUAAAUGAUAAAACAAAAGGCUUUCGUUUUGCGACCAAAACUCGGAAAUUCAACAUCAAAUUUCUCUAGAAGUUCUCCGAGGAUCAAUACGCAUGGUAAUAUACAAUUCCAGUUGGGCAUAUGUGUUCAUUCACCAGUUCCUGACUUUGUAUUGGUCUUUGUGGAUUGGGAGAAUUUAUUUUGCUGGCCUCAAUGUUAUUCUAUCACGGACCAAGGAAGAGUCACAACACCUAGUAUUGUGCGAUUCUCGGUGUCUUGAAAAUUCAAAUCAAGAUUAACUGAAUAAUGCUUACAAAGGAACUGCUAUAAUGAGUCAUCCAACAAAUGUGAAGAUCCUGAUAAAAAAGGUUCUGGCAAUCGUAUCUUUUUGUUGAAUAUUAUGCUAUAGGCUAUGCGUCACUUAUUCUAUCCAUAAAAACUUCUGGAUUUGGUAGUAUCAUGAUGUUUCAGUUAUGCCAUGUUUUGGAAUGAAGAUAUGCUGUUGAGUUUGUUUUUUCAUUUCCAGAAAGCUUUGAGAUUGAACUUCGAAUGCUUAAACACUUGACUUUAAAUGCACCUAAUUAAUCAAGUCUCCAUUGUGCUAUAGUUUUGAAUGGAUAUGUUUUCUCAUGAUGGUUGGAUCUUAAUUUUUAGAAUGCUUGAGAUUGAUCAAUUUGUUAAUACCAAAGGUCAGAUUCAUAAAUCAUAUUCUUUCCAUCCUAAAAAAUUUUAUCUGCUCUUUUUCCAGGACAUAUUUUUCUAGAAUUUAAGAACUUUUUUGUUUCUACAAUAUCAUGCCCAUAUAGAACUCUCAUCUUGGUGUAUAAUAACAUUGUCAGAUUCCAUAGAAAAUGCUCAGGUCGAUCUAACAAUUUUGGUAAUUCCUUUGUGUUAAAUGUCAAUCCUUAAUACAAAUACUUGGUCAAGCAUUGGCAACAAUUCAGUUCAUUCUCUUUUCUAUGUCCAAUUUAAAUGUGAUCAGUGCUGCCUUGUCAACUGGAAAUGAAUGGAUAUUUAAGCAUUCUGGUGAGUGGUUUCAGGUUUGAAUGUUCUCUCCAUCAAUAGGGGGAUUCAAGUAAUCAACUUGUGGAUGUUGUUCAACAGACAGAGCUUUUUACUAGCUUCUACUCUGAGUGCCUAGCAGAUAGACAGAGAAGAGAAUAUCUGCAACAAGACCCUAUUGGAGCUCAGUCCUGAAGAAAAAGAAGCAACACUACUGGCUGAGAAACAUGCAUUGUAUGACGAAGUCAUUCCCCUCCAACCCAAUGCCAUUGUCUUCCCCUAAAAACAAUCUGCUUCUCACCCCAAAUCAAGGUGAUUGUCCAUCCCCCAAGGUAACUGUUAAUGUUAAUGUGCAGUUUAGUUUUUAUUUUAUUUUUACUGCAGUUUAGUCAAGUUAAUUGUUUAGUUAGUUUGAUUGACUUGAGUUAAAACAUGUGAUGUGGGAGAAACCACUUAUUGGCUUAGCUUUGGGCCUUAAGAAAAUAUGUAAGGCUGUGUGUUUUCCUCUGUAAGUAGACGAAAACAAAGAAAUAGAAAAAAGGGCUGUAGAAAAAAGUGCAGAAAUGGAAAAUCAAAAGACCAGCAAAUAAAGCUAGAACUUCUUCACAAAUCUUCUUCUUUUAAUUUCUCAAAUUGUUCCUCUGUGUUCAGUUUUUAGACGACUUUUCAGAUUGUUUUCUUCAGGUCUUGAGCUCCACUCCUCUGUCUUUUCCUGGAAAUUGUUUGUGUAUUUGUGUUGUGAAGUUGUUGAACAAAUCAGCCAAUGUUAGCUCUGCAUCUUGGUUCUACAGCCCUAAUUACUCAUUGAGAAGAUAUAAGUUCUGGUGUGAACGAAGUGGAUGGAAUUUUCAGUGUAUACAUAUGUUUACUUUGUGCUUAAAAUUCUGUUUUGUUCAUUGUGAGCGCAGGUUGUAUUUGCAGCUGUAUAGGCAGUCUAUAGAUAAGAUAAUUUUUCUUUUGAUGGUAUAUCAAUUUCCUUGAAGCAACGCAUUUCAUCUUCAUUUCAAGUUUCAGCUACUUGAAUGAUUUAUAUUGAUGGCAAUUUUCUGGUUCUGAAUGCAAACUCUUGUAUUUUGGUUACUCUAUAGUAACCUUGAUGUAAGGGUUAGUCAUAAAUGAUAAUAACCUUUGAUUU